rnacentral:piRNA from 1 species
UGGUUAAUGAGAUGUUACUAACCCCCCA